rnacentral:rRNA from 1 species
AUUGAACGCUGGCGGCGUGCCUAACACAUGCAAGUCGAGCGGUAACAGGUGUAGCAAUACACGCUGACGAGCGGCGAACGGGUGAGUAAUGCUUCGGAAUCUACCUCAUGGUGGGAACUAACUAGACGCAAGGCUAGAUAAUACCGCAUACGUCCUACGGAAGAAAGCCGGGGAUCGCAAGACCAUGCGACAAAAGCUGAGCCGAAAUCGGAUGAGCUAGUUGGUAGGGUAACGGCCUACCAAGUCGACGAUCCGGAGCUGGUCUGCGAGGACGACCAGCCACUCUGGGACUGAGACACCGCCCAGACUCCUCCGGGAAGCAGCAGUGGGGAAUAUUGGACAAUGGGGGAAACCCUGAUCCAUCGACGCCGCGUGUGUGAAUAAUGCCUGCGUGUUGUAAAGCACUUUUAAUGUGGAUGAAAUGUGCAGGGUUAAUACCUCUGCAUUUUGACCUAACCCACAGAAAAAGCACCGGCUAACUCUGUGCCAGCCGCCGCCGUAA